AGUGAACGCUGGCGGUAGGCCUAACACAUGCAAGUCGAACGGCAGCACAGUAAGAGCUUGCUCUUACGGGUGGCGAGUGGCGGACGGGUGAGGAAUACAUCGGAAUCUACUUUUUCGUGGGGGAUAACGUAGGGAAACUUACGCUAAUACCGCAUACGACCUACGGGUGAAAGCAGGGGAUCUUCGGACCUUGCGCGAUUGAAUGAGCCGAUGUCGGAUUAGCUAGUUGGCGGGGUAAAGGCCCACCAAGGCGACGAUCCGUAGCUGGUCUGAGAGGAUGAUCGGCCACACUGGAACUGAGACACGGUCCAGACGCCUACGGGAGGCAGCAGUGGGGAAUAUUGGGCAAUGGGCGCAAGCCUGAUCCAGCCAUACCGCGUGGGUGAAGAAGGCCUUCGGGUUGUAAAGCCCUUUUGUUGGGAAAGAAAAGCAGCAGGUUAAUACCCCGCUGUUCUGACGGUACCCAAAGAAUAAGCACCGGCUAACUUCGUG
rnacentral:rRNA from 1 species